AUCAAUACACUAUUCCAAAAUUCAUUUUUCCUCCAAAAUGAGGCUCAAACAAGGGCUAAAUGAUCUUAGUUUUUCUUAUAACAUUAAAAUCCUACAAACUCUCUGUUUCAUGAUUGUGUGAUUUUUAAACCAUGCUCUUUAUGCAAGCUAGUUGGCAUCAAACAUGUUUCUGUCCUGCUGACUUUUUAUGAGUGUUUGGAUUUCUUUCUCAGGCAAUACUUGUCCAGAACUGUGGGAACCAGCUUCUGGAGUUUGUUGGGAUUUGAUUACUUUCCUAAUCUUUCUUUAUGGCGGAUGGGGUUUUUGCUUCUUAGAAUCUUCCAAUCCAUCAGUGGGGUAUGAGUGUAGUUUUAAAUGAAUAUGGUACAUCAGGUAUCAGAGGAGUACGAGUAUAAUAUUAAAUAAAUAUGGUACAUCAGCUCUCACUACACACUCUCUCUCUCUAUUUCCCCUCCCACUCUCUCACCAUCUUCUAUUGACGGUAAUAUGGCUAUCAGAGCAGGUAAUCAGUUAUCAUCAGCAUUAUUUGACUAGUUAUGCUUCUUAUUGUUAUUUCUUGCUUGCCAGAUAUCUUGGGAGAGGUCUUGCAGAAUAUCUAGUUGGUUUCUCCAACACUGAAGAUUCGUUGGUAAGAGUUUGUUAACUGCAAGAGUUGGCAUACUUGAGUAGUGGCAAAAUUGGACAGUGAAUCAAGUUGUAUGCCUCACCUGCAAGACCAAUUCAAGUCUUAGUCGGCCUCCCUUGUUAAAUGGAGGGAGAGACUGCAUACAAGGAAAAAAUACUCUAAAGAUGGAAGUAGAGGAUGGAAACAGAUCUACAAAGUGCAAAGGGAUCUGCUCUGCUUUCUGCCUUGUGUAGUUCAGUGCUUCAAAAAAUUUCUUGGGUAUUCAAUGACUGGAAGCCUGUCUGUAGUGCCAGUCUCUUGCUCCGUAACCAGAACUUGGAUGUCUUGUACUUGGAUGAUUAUGAAUGGUCAUAUUUCUUUUUCUGAAUUGGCUGGUCUCCAUCAUCAUGCCAGGGAAUAAGUGAAAUUGAGUGUUUUCUGGUCUUAAAAUUACACUGCCAUGGACGUACGAUCCAUAUAGCAUAGAGUAGAGCUAUUAUAUGUAUUUAUUGUUAAUAAUGUAUGGAGUCUGAAACAAAUUCUGAAGGCACCACAUGUAAUGGAUCUCUUUAAUUAAAAAUACUAUUAUUGAUUGACUUCUGAGUUC